AAAUAUGACCGGUGUCAUAGCCUCUAGCACACAGAGGUCGCGUGGGUUCAACUCCCCCCCUUUUCCGAGGGUAUCGGAAACC
rfam:Ononis yellow mosaic virus complete genome.